GGGUUGUGAGGUUAAGCGACUAAGCGUACACGGUGGAUGCCCUGGCAGUCAGAGGCGAUGAAGGACGUGCUAAUCUGCGAUAAGCGUCGGUAAGGUGAUAUGAACCGUUAUAACCGGCGAUUUCCGAAUGGGGAAACCCAGUGUGUUUCGACACACUAUCAUUAACUGAAUCCAUAGGUUAAUGAGGCGAACCGGGGGAACUGAAACAUCUAAGUACCCCGAGGAAAAGAAAUCAACCGAGAUUCCCCCAGUAGCGGCGAGCGAACGGGGAGCAGCCCAGAGCCUGAAUCAGUGUGUGUGUUAGUGGAAGCGUCUGGAAAGGCGCGCGAUACAGGGUGACAGCCCCGUACACAAAAAUGCACAUGCUGUGAGCUCGAUGAGUAGGGCGGGACACGUGGUAUCCUGUCUGAAUAUGGGGGGACCAUCCUCCAAGGCUAAAUACUCCUGACUGACCGAUAGUGAACCAGUACCGUGAGGGAAAGGCGAAAAGAACCCCGGCGAGGGGAGUGAAAAAGAACCUGAAACCGUGUACGUACAAGCAGUGGGAGCACGCUUAGGCGUGUGACUGCGUACCUUUUGUAUAAUGGGUCAGCGACUUAUAUUCUGUAGCAAGGUUAACCGAAUAGGGGAGCCGAAGGGAAACCGAGUCUUAACUGGGCGUUAAGUUGCAGGGUAUAGACCCGAAACCCGGUGAUCUAGCCAUGGGCAGGUUGAAGGUUGGGUAACACUAACUGGAGGACCGAACCGACUAAUGUUGAAAAAUUAGCGGAUGACUUGUGGCUGGGGGUGAAAGGCCAAUCAAACCGGGAGAUAGCUGGUUCUCCCCGAAAGCUAUUUAGGUAGCGCCUCGUGAAUUCAUCUCCGGGGGUAGAGCACUGUUUCGGCAAGGGGGUCAUCCCGACUUACCAACCCGAUGCAAACUGCGAAUACCGGAGAAUGUUAUCACGGGAGACACACGGCGGGUGCUAACGUCCGUCGUGAAGAGGGAAACAACCCAGACCGCCAGCUAAGGUCCCAAAGUCAUGGUUAAGUGGGAAACGAUGUGGGAAGGCCCAGACAGCCAGGAUGUUGGCUUAGAAGCAGCCAUCAUUUAAAGAAAGCGUAAUAGCUCACUGGUCGAGUCGGCCUGCGCGGAAGAUGUAACGGGGCUAAACCAUGCACCGAAGCUGCGGCAGCGACGCUUAUGCGUUGUUGGGUAGGGGAGCGUUCUGUAAGCCUGCGAAGGUGUGCUGUGAGGCAUGCUGGAGGUAUCAGAAGUGCGAAUGCUGACAUAAGUAACGAUAAAGCGGGUGAAAAGCCCGCUCGCCGGAAGACCAAGGGUUCCUGUCCAACGUUAAUCGGGGCAGGGUGAGUCGACCCCUAAGGCGAGGCCGAAAGGCGUAGUCGAUGGGAAACAGGUUAAUAUUCCUGUACUUGGUGUUACUGCGAAGGGGGGACGGAGAAGGCUAUGUUGGCCGGGCGACGGUUGUCCCGGUUUAAGCGUGUAGGCUGGUUUUCCAGGCAAAUCCGGAAAAUCAAGGCUGAGGCGUGAUGACGAGGCACUACGGUGCUGAAGCAACAAAUGCCCUGCUUCCAGGAAAAGCCUCUAAGCAUCAGGUAACAUCAAAUCGUACCCCAAACCGACACAGGUGGUCAGGUAGAGAAUACCAAGGCGCUUGAGAGAACUCGGGUGAAGGAACUAGGCAAAAUGGUGCCGUAACUUCGGGAGAAGGCACGCUGAUAUGUAGGUGAAGUCCCUCGCGGAUGGAGCUGAAAUCAGUCGAAGAUACCAGCUGGCUGCAACUGUUUAUUAAAAACACAGCACUGUGCAAACACGAAAGUGGACGUAUACGGUGUGACGCCUGCCCGGUGCCGGAAGGUUAAUUGAUGGGGUCAGCGCAAGCGAAGCUCUUGAUCGAAGCCCCGGUAAACGGCGGCCGUAACUAUAACGGUCCUAAGGUAGCGAAAUUCCUUGUCGGGUAAGUUCCGACCUGCACGAAUGGCGUAAUGAUGGCCAGGCUGUCUCCACCCGAGACUCAGUGAAAUUGAACUCGCUGUGAAGAUGCAGUGUACCCGCGGCAAGACGGAAAGACCCCGUGAACCUUUACUAUAGCUUGACACUGAACAUUGAGCCUUGAUGUGUAGGAUAGGUGGGAGGCUUAGAAGUGUGGACGCCAGUCUGCAUGGAGCCGACCUUGAAAUACCACCCUUUAAUGUUUGAUGUUCUAACGUUGACCCGUAAUCCGGGUUGCGGACAGUGUCUGGUGGGUAGUUUGACUGGGGCGGUCUCCUCCUAAAGAGUAACGGAGGAGCACGAAGGUUGGCUAAUCCUGGUCGGACAUCAGGAGGUUAGUGCAAUGGCAUAAGCCAGCUUGACUGCGAGCGUGACGGCGCGAGCAGGUGCGAAAGCAGGUCAUAGUGAUCCGGUGGUUCUGAAUGGAAGGGCCAUCGCUCAACGGAUAAAAGGUACUCCGGGGAUAACAGGCUGAUACCGCCCAAGAGUUCAUAUCGACGGCGGUGUUUGGCACCUCGAUGUCGGCUCAUCACAUCCUGGGGCUGAAGUAGGUCCCAAGGGUAUGGCUGUUCGCCAUUUAAAGUGGUACGCGAGCUGGGUUUAGAACGUCGUGAGACAGUUCGGUCCCUAUCUGCCGUGGGCGCUGGAGAACUGAGGGGGGCUGCUCCUAGUACGAGAGGACCGGAGUGGACGCAUCACUGGUGUUCGGGUUGUCAUGCCAAUGGCACUGCCCGGUAGCUAAAUGCGGAAGAGAUAAGUGCUGAAAGCAUCUAAGCACGAAACUUGCCCCGAGAUGAGUUCUCCCUGACCCUUUAAGGGUCCUGAAGGAACGUUGAAGACGACGACGUUGAUAGGCCGGGUGUGUAAGCGCAGCGAUGCGUUGAGCUAACCGGUACUAAUGAACCGUGAGGCUUAACCUUACAACGCCGAAGCUGUU
rnacentral:rRNA from 1 species